rnacentral:rRNA from 1 species
GAUGAACGCUGGCGGCGUGCUUAACACAUGCAAGUCGAACGAAGAACCUUAUUUGAUUUCCUUCGGGACUGAUUAUUUUGUGACUGAGUGGCGGACGGGUGAGUAACGCGUGGGUAACCUGCCUUGUACAGGGGGGUGACAGUUGGAAACGGCUGCUAAUACCGCAUAAGCGCACAGCAUCGCAUGCUGCGGUGUGGGAAAGUCCGGUGGCAUAAGAUGGAGCCGCGUUGGAUUAGCGAGUUGGUGAGGUUACGGCCCACCAAGGCGACGAUGCAUAGCCGAGCGGGGAGUGUGACCGGUCACAUUGGGACUGAGACACAGCCCAAAAUCCGACGGGAGGGAGGAGUGGAGUAUACUGCAGAAGGGGCGAAAGUCUGAUGCAGCGACGCCGCGUGAGAGAAGAAGCAGGUUGGUAUGCAAAGCUCUAUCAGCAGGGAAGAUAAUGACGGUACCUGAUAAAGAAGCACCGGCUAAAUACGUG